UCCUGUCAACAGAUGUCCAAAGAAGUGUCAAGAAUCUGAAAAAAUCAACAGAAUCUGUUGAGGACAUGUCUCUUGAUACAGGAGGUCUGUGUGGAUUAUGAAUUGCAUAGGUAUUCAGGGGAAUAAGUCUAUUGCAGCCUUCACCUUUCAGCUUCUUACGCAUUGACACCAUUUGCUAACUGUAAGUUUCUUACCAGGAGUGUAAGUACAUUUCACUUUUGUUUGGAUACUAAUGUUAACCUACAUUUGUCAGGGGCUUGAACAAGAGAAGGACCCAGCCUGGUUCAUGGCAGGGACAGAGAUGCUGACUCAGGAGUAUUUGUUGGGGGUUUGAACAAGGUCAGGACUCAUCCUGGUUCAGUGCAGGGACCGAAUUGCAGGAUCAGGAGUGUUUCUCGGGGCUUAAACAUUGGGAGCACCCAGCCUGCUUUUGUGCAGGGAUCCUUAUGUGCGUUCAGGAUUAUGUGUUGGGAGACUAACGAGGGCAGAACCUAGAUUCGUUCAGUGCAGUGACAGAGAGGUGUGAUCAGGAGUAUUUUCAGCAGCCCUGCUAAAAGGCAGAAACCAGAGACUUUAAUAUCCCACUUACAUGUAUGUAUAGAUCAACCGAGCAGAAUAUCAGCAAGGAAACACAAACUUCAAGUGAUACAAUGGACCGGUUAGACCUAAUGGAUAUCUAUAGGACACUUCACCCCAAAACAAUGAAUCUCACCUUUUUCUCAAGCGCACAUGGAACAUUCUC
rnacentral:sRNA from 1 species